UCCUACGGGAGGCAGCAGUAGGGAAUCUUCCGCAAUGGACGAAAGUCUGACGGAGCAACGCCGCGUGAGUGAUGAAGGCUUUCGGGUCGUAAAACUCUGUUGUUAGGGAAGAACAAGUGCUAGUUGAAUAAGCUGGCACCUUGACGGUACCUAACCAGAAAGCCACGGCUAACUACGUGCCAGCAGCCGCGGUAAUACGUAGGUGGCAAGCGUUAUCCGGAAUUAUUGGGCGUAAAGCGCGCGCAGGUGGUUUCUUAAGUCUGAUGUGAAAGCCCACGGCUCAACCGUGGAGGGUCAUUGGAAACUGGGAGACUUGAGUGCAGAAGAGGAAAGUGGAAUUCCAUGUGUAGCGGUGAAAUGCGUAGAGAUAUGGAGGAACACCAGUGGCGAAGGCGACUUUCUGGUCUGUAACUGACACUGAGGCGCGAAAGCGUGGGGAGCAAACAGGAUUAGAUACCCUGGUAGUCCACGCCGUAAACGAUGAGUGCUAAGUGUUAGAGGGUUUCCGCCCUUUAGUGCUGAAGUUAACGCAUUAAGCACUCCGCCUGGGGAGUACGGCCGCAAGGCUGAAACUCAAAUGAAUU
rnacentral:rRNA from 1 species